UUAUGCUCUGUUGUAUAAUAUUAGUAAUGUCUUUUAUGGUCAUUUUGUUAUACAAAAGUACUUUCUCAGUUUGUUUACCAAACAUGUUAAAGUGCCGCAACACUUUAGAGAUGUAGUUAUCAAACAACAAACAGCUUUUUAUAAAAGCUCUACUUCAGACAGAUCGACUUCCAAAAGCUCUACUGCUAACAGCUCCUCCAAACAGGGCCUUAAGUCCGGGGAAGGUUGAAGGGCAUGAUUCGUUGGUUAUUUUGGUUUAUAAGCUUACUAGUGAGAUGACGCAUUCAGAUGGGGGAGUUGUGGAGGGAGGGAAUGCACGAUUUGUUGGUUAUUCAGGUUUUAUAAGCUUACAAGAGAGAUGGUGCAGAAAGAUUCAGCCUGUUGAUCUGAACCCUGCUGCUGAUGCGAGGCUUGCUGAUUAAGUGGAUAAAGCUCAUCGACAACACGUUGCUUUAAAUCUCUGCUGACAAUUUGCGGUUUUAUGGCAGGAACAUCAAAAAGUUGAUGAUUUGAGAUAAAAAAAUAUGUUCAGGCUCGAAAAUCAGAUUUUUAUGCACAAAUGAAGGUCAAAUAGGGAUAACCUGGCAUUUCUCAUCUCACAGUGAAACUUGUACCUACAUUCUCUCAGCAAUGGAGAUGAAUUCUUUCUUGUAAAUUCUGUGUUCUCAAUGUAAAGUUUUGAACUGCUUGUUAAAGCUUGUUUCUCCUUCUUGCACCGGCCAAGAUGCAGUAAUUGCUUCCUCAAACCAAACCACAUCAACUUAGUAUGCAAUCAUUGUUAUUCCAAGAAACCGCAUUGGGGAUGGGCUAUUGCAAUGAAAGAAGAAAGGUUAUCUUACUCAAAGCCUAUGCUUUACACCAUACGCAUGGAGCUGCUCUGCUAUGCUGAGAGUAUGCAAGAACAAAGACGAAGGUGAAGUGAUCGGACCCGACCGGUUCGAUGAGCAUUUGGUGGUAAAGGUGGAUGUAUUGGAGGGGACGUUGCUGCACACUGAGGCAGCUGAUCAGGGUGUACUUUGAGGGAGUCCAGGACCAUUUUGGCGUACUUAAGGCUGCCUGGGUCUGAAACCGCACAGAAUCCAGUGAGGUGGCCGGUGGAGUAGUCAUGGGUUAUUUGGAAGGAUUUGAUGAUGAGAACAUGGCCGUGGGCACUUUGUUGGAGCAGGAAGAGAUUUGAGUGUUGGGUUGGUAGUUGGUUUGUUUUUGAGACUGUUGGGAUGACAGAGAAGGGAACUGAAGCUAGUGAAGUCAUGAGCUUCAGCUACUUCAGGAGGGGGAAGAAGAGAGGGAAAGCAAGGAAAAACAUAGUAACCGUUGGGAAGACGUUGGGACUUCCGAAGAGUAGAAGGCUUCCUUAGUUGUGGGUUAUUUUCAGGGAUAUUUAUGUUUAGUCCAGUUUCCUUUUUUAUAAAGAAGGUUAUGUUUUAGUACAGAAAUGGAGACUAUUAAUUACAUUUUAUAUAACAUGGUUGUUCAUGUUU